GACAGAGGCCUCGAGCGUUAGGCGGAAUCACUGGGCUUAAAGCGUGUGUAGGCGGAUGCCUAAGUACCUUGUGAAAUCCCACGGCUCACCCGUGGAACCGCUGGGUAUACUGGGCAUCUUGGGCCAUUCAGGGGCAACUGGAACAAGCGGUGGAGCGGUGAAAUGCGUAGAUAUCGUGAGGAAGACCAGUGGCGAAGGCGGAUCUCUGGAGAGUUCCUGACGCUGAGGCACGAAGGCCAGGGGAGCAAACGGG
rnacentral:rRNA from 1 species